UACGUAGGCAGCAAGCGUUGCUCGGAAUCACUGGGCGUAAAGCGCACGUAGGCGGCUUUUUAAGUCAGGGGUGAAAUCCUGGAGCUCAACUCCAGAACUGCCUUUGAUACUGAGAGGCUUGAGUCCGGGAGAGGUGAGUGGAACUGCGAGUGUAGAGGUGAAAUUCGUAGAUAUUCGCAAGAACACCAGUGGCGAAGGCGGCUCACUGGCCCGGUACUGACGCUGAGGUGCGAAAGCGUGGGGAGCAACAGGAUAGA
rnacentral:rRNA from 1 species